rnacentral:misc_RNA from 1 species
UUAGGGAGACCCAACCAAUUUUAGAUUUGAGAUUUUGGAUUUGGAGUUUGAAAAACAAUCAAUCCAAAAUCAGCAAUCAGCAAUCAAAAAUCUAAAAUUGAGUCAUCCCAGGUCGGUCGCAGGAUUGAGACAUGGCUUUCAAACUAUCAAAUGGUUCGGUGAGACAGAGAAAGCAAACAAUGUAGAAAAGCAAACUCAGCAACCGAAAACAUAGUUGUUAGGACUGCUGGGGAAAGAGCCAGCCAGAACCUUGAAAACUGCAUAGAGAAGCGAAAGAAGGUAGUAGUUGAGAGUUGAGACAGAGUAGUUGUAAGAGAAAAGCUAACAACGAAGUGAAAGAACUCAACAAUCAACCAAAUCCAGAACCAAUGUAGAGU